CGGGGGGCUCAGAGCAGUUACCCCCGCCCGGGACCCGUAGGGCGAUCAUUCCCACCCUGCCCCUUUCCUGUGGUGUGAUGGUUCCAGUCCAAACCCAGUCAGCUGUCUGGAAAUGGCAAGUGAGACACUUGUUGCCAUGGUGAUCCUUAAUAGUUCUGACUCAGAUGUAGCGUUGCUACGGCAACCGCAUCCGCAGCCCUUGGGAGGCAAUGCCGGCACGAUUUUUCUCUCGUAGUGGAAAAGGGCUCCGAAGCCCCAUUUUGCUCACUCCUUGCUGCAGUGCAGUGAUGAAGCUUUUAGGCUGUUUUGUUAUUCUCCUAAUGAACGGCAAUCCUGAUCCUUCACCAGAGGAUCUGCUGCUAUUCUGCAGGCUAAAAGUGCUCCGGACCGCCUCACCAUGGGCACAGUGUCUGCACCGUAAGGCGACCCCAGUCUCUCCCUUCCCGUGGCUCAUCAGAAAAAAAAAAAUAGUUUUCAAAAGGAGCAGUAACCUUUCUUCCUAGUAUCCUUCUCAGACAGAGGCAAGUAAGAAUGAGGAGGCAUGUGAGUUCUACAUGUCGGUAUCCCUGGACCUACAUCUCAGCCAACCCCUGUCCUGAGGGACCUGGGCAUGGAUCCCAGGCUUGUCAGAGAAUCACACCAGGCUCUCUCCUACCUGACAUCCUGGUUCUUCUAGACACCAUCUUGCACUGGUAGGACAUAGCUGGAUGUCAUGGAGCAGGCCUUCAAAGAAACUGGGAUGACUGAAGUAUGGAAAAAAUUACAAAUUCAUCAUGAAGGUGGGAGAUUACUGCAAAUAACAGUCUGAGAAGGGUCUGAGAAGGAUUUAAAAGUGGUAGAUGCAAAGGAUAAAGGAUAUUGCUAAAGAAAUCAGUCACAUUCUACACUUGGAGUGUCCAGGAUGACUCUUGUGUGUCUGGCUCAGGUGACAGAAGGACAGAAGCCUUAUUAGCAAGGGUAAGUUAGUAACACAAGUAAUGGGGAAGAUUUUGGCAUGGAGCCUGAUGAAUGUAAACCAACCUUAAAGAGGUGUUGGGGGACAAAGACACAAGAAUGAAGAUUCUGGAGAUGUCUGGGAUGGGGAAAGAUAUCUCAGAGUUCCUGCAGAGUACAGAUGAAGGUCCCCUGCAGGAUAAGUUAAAAGGGAAAAAUAGGGCUGAAUUAAGGUCUGAGCUAUAAGGGCUCCAGCAGAGAGAGGCUCUCAGGAAAUGAAUGAACCUGUGGUAUCUGCAAGGUUUCAAGGAGAGGAAUCUUGGGACUUGGGAAACAGCCAGUGGAGAGUGAAAGCCAGAUAGAGAUGCUCCAAGAGCAAGUCUAAGGCUCUUCAGAGGUUAAUACGGCUUAUCCAAGGAGUUUAGGGAUAUGGGGAGUUGUGAAGGUAAUUGAAGAGACUUACUCAAAAGUAACUUUUAAAUAUGUGCAAUGACUUGCUUGGUAUGCAGAGAGAAACUCAUCCCUAGUGUAAAUCUAAUGAAAUCAGUAGCUUUGGCUUUAGCUUAGUCUGUUAAUUCCACAUGGUGAAGGCAGAAUGAGGGGAAGUGGCCCUUCUUCCUGCCUCCUUAGAAGAAAGUGCCCAUCAUUGGAAAGGUGCUUGUGAGAGGCUGCAGCUGUGCCUGCACUGGGCCUGUGCAGUCUCACGUGAGCCUUUGUCCCACAUGAUGCCAGAGCAGGGCUUGUGCCCUGUCACUGCAUGUGUACCUGUUCAGAGAUGGGACCCCGUGCAGUAGCCUGCCUUCGUCUUGCAGCCAUCCCCAAGGAACAAACUGGGUCUGGAUUUGAUUUCUUCACCCCAUUGUGAACUCACAGAUCCCUCCUUCCCAGUGCAAUGGUGCUGGUUCUAGUAAUCAUGGUCUGUGCAGCAUAUUUUGACCAUGACACCUGUUGGCAUCAAAGUGAGAGGAGAACCACACCAGGGACAGCAAAGCCUAUUGGAUCUAAGACUAAAUGAAGCAUAGGACUAAAUAUUGCAAUGUUUUUAUCUCUACUUUUGGCACGAUAAGUUACAGAAUUUGCUGAAUGUGAUUUCUUGCCUCAGAACUGUAAUAAAACACAAAAAUUGGACUGAA